rnacentral:rRNA from 1 species
AACAGGAUUAGAUACCCUGGUAGUCCAUGCCGUAAACGAUGUCUGCUAGCCGUCGGGGCCUUUGAGGCUUUAGUGGCGCAGCUAACGCGAUAAGUAGACCGCCUGGGGAGUACGGUCGCAAGACUAAAACUCAAAUGAAUUGACGGGGGCCCGCACAAGCGGUGGAGCAUGUGGUUUAAUUCGAUGCAACGCGAAGAACCUUACCUGGCCUUGACAUACUAGAAACUUUCCAGAGAUGGAUUGGUGCCUUCGGGAAUCUAGAUACGGGUGCUGCAUGGCCGUCGUCAGCUCGUGUCGUGAGAUGUUGGGUUAAGUCCCGCAACGAGCGCAACCCUUUUCCUUACUUGCCAGCAUUUCGGAUGGGAACUUUAAGGAUACUGCCAGUGACAAACUGGAGGAAGGCGGGGACGACGUCAAGUCAUCAUGGCCCUUACGGCCAGGGCUACACACGUGCUACAAUGGUCGGUACAAAGGGUUGCUACACAGCGAUGUGAUGCUAAUCUCAAAAAGCCGAUCGUAGUCCGGAUUGGAGUCUGCAACUCGACUCCAUGAAGUCGGAAUCGCUAGUAAUCGCGGAUCAGAAUGCCGCGGUGAAUACGUUCCCGGGCCUCGUACACACCGCCCGUCACACCAUGGGAGUUUGUUGCACCAGAAGUAGGUAGUCUAACCGCAAGGAGGACGCUUACCACGGUGUGGCCGAUGACUGGGGUGAAGUCGUAACAAGGUAACC